GUCUUUCUAGUAUUAACAUUAGUAUAAGUGACUUCCAAUCACCCGGUCUUGGUUAAAAUCCAAGGAAAGACA
rnacentral:tRNA from 1 species